CUCAGACAAAGUCCUGGCCGUCCUGCCGGACUCUUCGGUGGGCGCGCUCACCUCCAAACCGCGGGCAGGUUUUGGUGCCGGCCAGCUGCUGAACGGGGGAGGCGGUCCUCACAGACUCCAGCAGCCUGUCCCCGCCCCCACGGCCCACGACGCCGUGCUGGUUCUGGACCCGAGCCCCGGGGAGAACUUCGGACACCCAGUGGUCCUCUUCUAUGUGGACGUGAAUGUCACGAAGAAGAGGUGCGCCCACCUGGAUGGGAUUUACCUGGCGGACGAGUGUUUGACUCUGGCUUUGAAGGGACGCUGUCAGAACCAGCUGAAGCGUCGCCAAGCUGGACCAGAGAGGAUGAUGGGUAACGGCCGCCUGGCAGGGGGGCUGCGCUCUGGAACCAUCACUGCGAGCAGCGGAACCCGCCAGGUGGAGCGGGCCAUCGGAGGACUCUGUGAGGUCCACUUCCUGCCCCUGGUGGUCGGAGUUGGGGACAGCAACCGAACGCAGCGACUCAGAUGUGUGGACCACGCAGAGUUCGCCAGCUGUCCUCAGCCGCUGCCCAUGAGCGUCCCCGCUCCACCUGUGUCCAGCUGUGAGCUGAACAAGAACACCAGGCGCUGCCACCAGCAGCCGCUCGCCACCCACCUGUCCUGCCGCCUCUACCAGACCUGCGACCACGCCGUGCUCAUCGCAGGUGGGAGCCAUUUUUAUAUCUGCACCACUGAAGAGACACACUUCAGACUGGAGACACACUGUGUGUGUGUGUGUC
rnacentral:lncRNA from 1 species